rnacentral:rRNA from 1 species
UGGGGAAUAUUGGGCAAUGGAGGCAACUCUGACCCAGCAACGCCGCGUGAGGGAAGAAGGUUUUCGGAUUGUAAACCUCUGUCCUCGGGGACGAAGACAGUGACGGUACCCUAGGAGGAAGCCCCGGCUAACUACGUGCCAGCAGCCGCGGUAAUACGUAGGGGGCAAGCGUUGUCCGGAAUUACUGGGCGUAAAGGGUGCGUAGGCGGUAUGGUAAGUUAGAUGUGAAAUCCCCGGGCUUAACUAGGGAGUUGCAUUUAAAACUGUCAGACUAGAGUGCAGGUGAGGAGAGCGGAAUUCCUAGUGUAGCGGUGAAAUGCGUAGAUAUUAGGAGGAACACCAGUGGCGAAGGCGGCUUUCUGGACUGUAACUGACGCUGAGGCACGAAAGCGUGGGGAGCGAACA